UGAGGAAUAUUGGUCAAUGGGCGCAAGCCUGAACCAGCCAUCCCGCGUGAAGGAAGAAUGCGCUACGCGUUGUAAACUUCUUUUCCAGGGGGAGAAUUUUCCUGUCGAGACAGGGAUUGACGGUACCCUGGGAAUAAGCAUCGGCUAACUCCGUGCCAGCAGCCGCGGUAAUACGGAGGAUGCGAGCGUUAUCCGGAUUUAUUGGGUUUAAAGGGUGCGUAGGCGGAUUGAUAAGUCAGUGGUGAAAUUCUGCAGCUUAACUGUAGACUUGCCGUUGAUACUGUUAGUCUUGAGUGUGGUCAAGGCAGGCGGAAUGUGUAAUGUAGCGGUGAAAUGCUUAGAUAUUACACAGAACACCGAUUGCGAAGGCAGCUUGCUGGGUCAUUACUGACGCUGAUGCACGAAAGCGUGGGGAUCAAACAG
rnacentral:rRNA from 1 species